rfam:Triticum aestivum genome assembly, contig: Triticum_aestivum_CS42_TGACv1_scaffold_211194_3AS
UAUAUACUCCCUCCGUCCAAAAAAACUUGUCCCAAGCUUGUCCCUCAAAUGAAUGUAUCUAGCACUAACUUGGUGCUAGAUACAUUCAUUUGAGGGACAAGCUUUUUCGGACCGAGGGAGUACGUU